ACAGCAGUACUAUGUAUCCAAAACAACAUAACCCCGUCAACCCGAAUUCGAUCAAACCUUAACCCGAUUCUAACCCGAUACAACCCAAUGCACCCUGCGGUUCCCCUUUCCUUCGCUUCAAACGUGCUCCUCAUGUGAAUAACAGGUGGUUUCGUACCACGGGGGUUCCGAUAAUCAUCUAGAACAAGCUUAGGUGUCCCUCCAACGUCUCAAUCCCGUAAAUCGCGGUACAAUUGGUGGAGAGCAACGCCAAAUGAGUACGGAUUUAUUUUAAGGCAAAAACCGAAUCCAAAAGGAAUAUUCACGAAAAUCUCUUUCAAAAAUCCGGAAGAGGACCCUGAAUUGGUGCCCUAUAAGAAGACCUCUGGGGUCACUGUUGGGAGGGCUUUUUUUUUUUUUGUUUCUCGAAGGGAUUAAGGGAGUUGUGGGUUUAGAUCUUUUUUAGUCAAAAGAAGAAGAGGAAAAAUCCCUUGGUGUUGAGAAAUAUCAAGUUCGAAAGAGGGGGAAGAUUUUAUUUUUCUGGUCACCAUUUGUUUUUUUUAAGGUCAAGAAAUUUUAAGGAUGAUUUUUCUCUGUUUUUGCACUCGAAACUUUGGUUAGAAAUUCUGUGGGUUUCGAAAAGGUUUCUGAGUAAAGGUAGGAAGAUAUCUAGUGUGAAAAAUCUGGGGGUACGCUCUGUUGGUGGUGUACGUCGUGAGAUUCCAGUAGCAACGAGUUUCUAAUAGCUCGAAAGUCCCGUUUUUCUGCCCCGAAGGAGGAUAUCGCUCAACUAUAUUCUCGCGAAAAGUUCAAGAUGGUUACCAAACCUGACGGUUUCUUGAAACUAUGGUGGGACCACAUGAGCGCUGAAGAGAGAAAGAUUGUUAGGACACACAUUGGGCAUCUUCCUUCUUUGAUCGAGAUGAACGCUUGGACCGAAAUGAUCCAUGUUUAAACAACUUUUUGGGAUGAUCAGAACAUGGUAUUUUGCUUUGGGUAUGUUGAAUUGACCCCCACCAUUGAAGAGGUAUUGAUUUGUUACGAGAGUACGGAAAUGUGUUUAAAGAGAAGGGAGACACCGGAUAAGAAUAUUUUAGUCCCGGAUGUGUGGGAUCGUUAAAAGAUCAAGGAGGUAUUUUUAACUGACGAUGACACCUGGCUAGGAGAACAUGAUGGAGCAAAUAUCACUUUUUGUGAGUUGUACCAUCGGUUCGGAAGAUUCAAAUCUUUUCAUAAAUUUGGGGAUAAAUUGGAGUCGGAAGCAAAAUAGAAGGAAACGAGAGCUUUUGCAUUCGCGGUAGGCCUACUUGGAACCAUGGUGUUCCCGCAGGGGGAAAAUGGCACAAUUCAUCCGAGGGUUGUCACAGUGACCCAUGCACUCUUCUUUGGAAUGGAGUACAAUUCUAAAUAAGUAUUCCACAACUUAGCCCCCAUGAUUGUCGCUGACAUAGAUUGCAAUUUGGGAAGAUGUCAAGUCGAGAAUCGUUUCUUUCAAGGCUGCAAACUUAUAUUACAAUGGUGGAUGAUGAUGCAUUUGGUGAAAAAUUCUAGAACGGCACAACCUGAUCACAAAACAAGGAGGAAUCUGCUAGAAUCGCACGACAUGUGGUUAUUUUUUCACAAGUUCAAAAGGGAAGCAUCCUAUGAAUUUUGGUUUAAGACUCUCGGAGAAUUAAGAGAUGGUGAUGUCCAAUGGUCCCUUAACUAUCUUCAUUCAGGGAAAUACAUUAUUCGAAGGGGCGAGUGGCCUUUUUUAGUGCUUCUGGGUCUCAGGGGAACCCGUCCCUACAAUCCUAGCAGAGUUCUUAGGCAUUAAAAUCAAGCAGGAGACGCCUCAAAUCGAUUCUAUGCUCAGAUUCUUCACCGAAUAUGAUGAAAGUGAGCCUUCGCUCAAAGACUACAUGAUAAAUGGAUGGAGAAGGAAAAGGUGGAUGGAAGUCUCUUUCCGUAUAGGGUAUGAACCUAAAGUCAGCGACACUUACAAGGAGUGGUUAAAAAAGAGCCUCGCUGGAGAAUUGAAUCUGGGACCAAAUGUUCCCACUCGGGUUGUGGAUGUAGAAUGCGAGCAUCAAAUUCGGCUUCACAGGCUACAAGAUGAGUUCCAGAAAAGUGAAAUCGCGCACCGGAAGAUGCACAUGGAGGAAGCUUUGACCAUACGUAUGUUGAGGGAAGAGUUGAAAAGAGCUGGGCAAGACACUGAUGAUGCCAAGCAAUGUCUAAUCGAUUUGGAUGAUAGCAUGGCCUCCCAACUUGAUAGCAUAGGGAAAAUGACUUACGACUGCAAGGCACAGUUAUGCGAGAGUCAUCUUAUCAUCAAUAGGUAUCAAAUAGCACAUGAGGUAAACAAGGCAAAGAAGGCAAAAACAGACGAAGGAGCCUCCAGUAGCUAGUUUUUCUAUUCUCCCCUGCGCGGGAACUUAUCUUCUUUCAUGUUAUUUCCCCUUUUCCCUAAAGAUUGUAUCCCUAUUUCGUUAUCUUUUAUAGAC